rnacentral:rRNA from 1 species
UGGGGAAUAUUGGACAAUGGGCGAAAGCCUGAUCCAGCCAUGCCGCGUGUGUGAAGAAGGCCUUUUGGUUGUAAAGCACUUUAAGUGGGGAGGAAAAGCUUAUGGUUAAUACCCAUAAGCCCUGACGUUACCCACAGAAUAAGCACCGGCUAACUCUGUGCCAGCAGCCGCGGUAAUACAGAGGGUGCAAGCGUUAAUCGGAAUUACUGGGCGUAAAGCGCGCGUAGGUGGUUAUUUAAGUCAGAUGUGAAAGCCCCGGGCUUAACCUGGGAACUGCAUCUGAUACUGGAUAACUAGAGUAGGUGAGAGGGGAGUAGAAUUCCAGGUGUAGCGGUGAAAUGCGUAGAGAUCUGGAGGAAUACCGAUGGCGAAGGCAGCUCCCUGGCAUCAUACUGACACUGAGGUGCGAAAGCGUGGGUAGCAAACAGGAUUAGAUACCCUGGUAGUCCACGCCGUAAACGAUGUCUACCAGUCGUUGGGUCUUUUAAAGACUUAGUGACGCAGUUAACGCAAUAAGUAGACCGCCUGGGAGUACGGCCGCAAGGUU